UAACGAACAUCAUCCUACUGUACUAGUACUUCCCAAACAAAAGCAUAGAAUUUAGCGACAAAACGGCAGCAACCGUCACUAUAAAGUUAAAUGUGGGCUGGCCCGGGACAAUGGCCACCAAACUAUUCAUUGCAGCUCAAACCCUUGCUUGCUCUCUUUUCCCUGUUCAUCGUCUGCGGCCAGCGGCUUCUCUCUCGCUCUUCUCCUCCCAGGACCUAUGGCUCCAAAUGAUGUAAUGGAAUCGGCAACAAAUGGUCUUGUCAAUAAACUCGCGAAAGAGGUAUUCAUAUCCACCAGCACAAUGGAGAUUAUACUUUAUGGAAUAGUUUAGUUUGUGUUCAGUUAUGUUAGUUAUCUUAGCUUUUGGUUGUUCAGUAUUAGUAAUUUUGAAUGUUGAUUUCAAUUAUGAUCUUUUUGGAUGCUAUUAUUUCACUUAUAAUGUUAAAUAAGAACAUAAUUUGGAGGUUAGUUUCGUUAUGAUACUUUUGGUUGUCUAUCUUAUAUUUCGUCCUUUGGAUUCUUCUUCAUUGGCCUUCAGGUAGCAUAAUAUAAAUAAACAACAAACUCUAUCAGAUAUUAAUAUUUUAAUUUUAAUUUUUUUUAUUUGUCACGUGAGCAUUAACUAACAUUUAUUAGUUAGUUGAAUUUUAACAAAAAAAUGCGAAACAUAAAUAUUUGAAAGUUUAAGUAUCGUAUUAUUGAAAAAAACAUGAUAUAAAUCUUGAUUAUAAACAACCUAUAGAGACAAUUGAAUUAAUCUACUAUAUCUAUUAUACGAGAACAGGUUGUUCUCCUGAGCAAAUUUAUUCUUUGGUUCGGUUAUUCCAAACCUACUUCCUAAGCCUAAUUAAUUCCGGCACAUAUAUUAUCCAGUACGAACACAGAUAUCUGUUCAGCUUCACAGGGCUUCUCCCCGAUCGACCCCCUUAGUCCUCACUCGCAGCUCAUAAUUCCAUGCUCAUGUCAACGAAUUAACGUAUGAAAAUGAUAUAUUACCGCGGAUACUCUUAACCCUGGGCGCCCUCUUGAGCAGACUGGUUUUCUGUUCAAAUCUUGUCAUAUACAUACCAACCAUGUCUGCAAUUCUCAUUCUACUACUUUCCCCACGUGUCCUGCACUCUCUGUUUUCCGCCCCAUCACCACCGUCUCAUCCUCUCCUCCCUCAAUCUCCUUCAACCAACCCCACCAAACAUCUUUUUCUCAGGAUUUCUUAUCAAACCACGCGGGUGCUGCACUUUUUUUCCCAUUUUCUCCAGCCAGGACUUCUGUCGGACACAUUGCCUGCAAUGCUCAGCUUGAAGAAAUAUGGGAUUUUCCCAACCCAGGUGACAAAGAUAUGUUCAAUUUUGGUUCGGGAUUUGGUUUGACUGAGACGAACAAGUCGGGUUCGAGUUUCUUGCAAACUCAGUUUAUCAUCAAGAACUGCGCAACCUUUUAAUCCUACUGACUAACAAUUAUAAGAAGAGUAUCAGGAAAGAGGCUUGCUGGACUAUUUCAAACAUCACAUCGGGAAAUAAGGAGCAAAUUCGGUCCGUGAUUGAAGCCAAUAUUAUUGGGCCGCUUGUGCAAUUGCUUCAAAAUGCUGAGUUUAAUAUUAAGGAGGCUGCUUGGGCACUUUCAAAUGCAACAUCUGGGGGUACUCAUGAUCAAAUCAAUGCUUGAUUUCUAACUCGGUGGUGCCGUUCUUCUGCAACGAUAAGUGAAGACUGUUUAUACAGUAUUAAAUUUAGUUUCGGGUAUAUUAGAAGCAAGUUUCAGAAUCUAAUUUUGUUAAAGAUUAUUUAUGGAAUAUAGUAGCUUGAAAGUUUUAAUAUGAUUUUGUUCCAGUGCUCGAUUUCUAACUCGGUGUUGUCGUUCUUCUGCAACGAUAAGUGAAGGCUGUUUAUACAGUAUUAAAAAAAUAAAGGUUGUUGCAAGCAAAGGUAGUUAUAGACCGCUAUGUUGGAGUCGACAAAUCCAAAUAAAGGAAAAGAAUAUAGUCUUGACAUGAUAUUGAUGGAUGAUAUCAAUAAAUUAACUGUUAGCGAUGUAUGUUUGUUGGUUAUUAUUUUAUAAUAUGUGUUUUGUUUGUCGGACAUGUUUGUUGUUUUUAAUUUUUUUAUGAUUUACU